UACGUAGGUGGCGAGCGUUGUCCGGAUUUACUGGGCGUAAAGAGCGCGCAGGCGGUCGUUCAAGUCGCGUGUGGAAGCCCCCGGCUCAACUGGGGAGGGUCACGCGAUACUGAUCGACUCGAAGGCAGGAGAGGGUAGUGGAAUUCCCGGUGUAGUGGUGAAAUGCGUAGAUAUCGGGAGGAACACCAGUGGCGAAGGCGGCUUCCUGGCCUGUUCUUGACGCUGAGGCGCGAAAGCUAGGGGAGCAAACGGG
rnacentral:rRNA from 1 species